UGCCAGCAGCCGCGGAAAUACGGGGGGUGCAAGCGUUGCUCGGAAUCACUGGGCGUAAAGCGUACGCAGGCGGCCUAUUAAGUCGGAUGUGAAAGCCCCGGGCUCAACCCGGGAAUUGCAUUCGAAACUGGUAGGCUUGAGUGUGAGAGAGGGAAGUGGAAUUCCAGGUGUAGAGGUGAAAUUCGUUGAUAUCUGGAGGAACACCGGCGGCGAAGGCGGCUUCCUGGCUCGAUACUGACGCUGAGGUACGAAAGUGUGGGGAGCAAACAGGAUUAGAUA
rnacentral:rRNA from 1 species